AAUUGCCACCACCCGCCAAAAUCUAAUAUUGAAGGCUGGAGUUAUUCGACAUCUCAGUUAUGUUUGUCCUUUAAUUUCCGAAGAGAGAGGCGACGAUGUGGAACGACGUGGAGCUUUUAGUCAACGAGGAUUCAGGCAAUGUCCGCUUCGGCAGUAUAUCAGCGGAGGAGAAUGGCAGUAGCUUGUACCAAUUGGACACAUUGGUCAAGGUGUCCUCGAAUGAGGUGCAGCCAGACCCUCAUCUGUACUCCAUCACUGGAAGCAACUGGAGCGUUCUUGUUGCCGACAAGACGGUGGUCCUCUUUGCCGAGCGCUUCCAGACCGUUCUGCUGCUUCUUCACUUUAAAAGUGACGUGGAUGCUGUCGACGUGUGCCUGGAGGGAGAUUUUCUGUUAGUGUGUGAAAGAAACGGCAACCUGCACUUGAUCUUUGUUCCACACAAGAAAAUACUCCUCACCAAAGCUUUGGUUGAACCAAACAGCGGUGACAGGAAAACGUAUUGUGCUCUCAUCACAGAGGAAAGCAAGGUAUCGCAAGGCCUGUACCAUGUGUUUCUGGUCAUAAAGGAUGGCUUCUUCCAUAUCGUCAACCUUAAUUUGGUCAGAAUCAAAACAGCCAUUGAAAACAUGGACAUGGCCACUUUAAAAGAGCUUCAGAGUGUCAUCAAGAUUGACUUCUGCUCCACCGAGAUGUACCACAACAAAGGCUGCGGCAACGCAGUUGCCUUCACUUUGGCCAAUGAGAUCCAUUUAUUCAUCGGGGGAGACGGUGAGCACGCAGUUACCCACUGGAUCGUCGAUUCUCAUGAGUCCAAGAUAUGUCUCGCUCACUCCAUGGACAAUAGUUUGAUAGCAGGUGUCAAGAAAAUGGUGGUGGUGGAAAAUGUUCUGUACAUUCUUGACACGGAGGAAGUCCUGAGCCGUUGGGAUGCGCAUUUCCUGGUUAUGGUUCACAUCUGGCCAGAUGUCGCUCUUCUCGACUUUCAAAUAAUCACCGAAUGCGGCUCGGCGGCCUUGGUGGAAGGUGCUGUUGCUGACAGUCAAGCAAAAGGCAGUGUGAAGAUGAUCACCCUGGAGAAGCAAAAUAAGAGCCAGAUCAACUCCCUAAGGAUUCGAUGUUUGCCCUCCAUGGCGGUUUGCUACUGCCUCGAUGUCUCCUCAGUGUCCUGCCUGGUCCAGAGAAAUAUAAGCAUGGACACCAUUUAUUUGGUGGAGGGGAUUGGUACCACUUCAGAAAGCUGCAGCAGUCGAGGAGAAAGUGUUUCCUCCCUCAUCGUCCGCUGCCUGACAGAGACUUUGCCCGAGAACAGGUUGAGCAGACUUCUUCACAAACAGAGAUUUGAAGAGGCUGAACAGUUUGCCGCUUUAUUUGAACUGGAUUUAGAGCUGGUUUACAAGGUGAAGCUGGCCUUCUUGCUGGAGCAGCUGGCCUCUGCGUCGGUGGGUGACUGCGGACAGGACGAAUGGUCCGAACUUGUGGAGGAGGCCAGAAUUAACUUGCUGAAGAUUGCUGAUGAGAGGUUUGUGGUGGAUUACUGCAUCAAGUGUCCCUGGCCGACCUUUGACACGGCGGAGAAGAUGCUGAGCCUCGCCGCCACGCAUUCCUCGUCCUUGCAGAUCCAGGAGGCCCUCGCCAGACUAGCGACCUUCUGCAGUCUUCACGGCCCGGACAAAUUCAACGGCAUCGACUGGAUUGAGUUCCUGAACAGCUCGGACAUGUUGGGAGACGUUCUGAGCCACUUGAGAGAUGGAGACCUGUGGGGCGCUCAACUUCUUUGGCUGAAAUACGAGGGCCACAUUGCAGGCCGUUUUGAUGAGAGCAAACUUGAAGCCGUCCUUGAUGCGAUUCCAGAGGAUUUGCCAUCCCGAGACCUGUGCCCCUGGUUCAAGAAUGUUUUUCUUCCCUUUGUCCGAAGAGUGCUUCCAUCAGGACAGAAAAUGCUGGCCAAGUGGAUUGAGCAGAGGGCACGGAAUCUGGAGCUGAUGGAGAAGGGCGCUUGGCCACAGAACGGACUGGCCUUGGCAGAGCUCGGACUGCCACCUUUAUGGCUAUGGCUGAAAUCUGAUGACUACUACGCUUCGAAGGAAGUGGAGAACUUAAGGACCCUGGUUUGCAACCUGCGUCAGCUGCUGGAGCUCCAUACAAAAUACAACUGCAGUCUUUCGCUUUCGCUCUUUGAGAAGGGGAAGGUACGCAGUGUUGCAUUCCUCAUGCUGGAUAAAGCGGCAGCUCCGAAUCUGAUCGCCGCCACAGUGGAAAAUCACAUCCUACCUUAUGCUGAUGAGCACGGCAUUCUUUUGGAUGAGCUGCUUCUGCAGUACAUUAAGGAUAUGCUAGAAAAUUGCAACUCCCAAACCAACACGCUUUUCACGGCAUGGGAAGCCAAAGCAGUGGCGGUGCUGGGAUGCAUGGCAGAUAUGGAUCUGAAGGUGGAUGCUGUGUUGGCGAUCAUGCAGAAAGCUGUCUUCCCCUGGAAUCCUGUGGUGGAGGACCAGAUUCAGCUGUACCUGGAGAUGGAAGGACCAAAGCAGGAGCUUUUAAAAGAGAGCUACCGUCUGAUGGAAAUCCGCAAACUUCUGUGGGGCUACGGGAUCCGCAGUUGCACCCUCUCAAGCCCAAGCUACAUGAUGGCGGCGGUUCGGUACAUCUUGAAGCAGGACUCUCCAACAUGUCUGCAAGACACCAUAGCUCUCGCAGAAGCGUACAAACUUCCAACGUCUCAUAUCAACUACUUGUAUCUCGUCCGGCUAAUUGGCCAAGGCCAGAGCGAUGCGUGUGUCACUGCGCUGAAGAGUUUGCCCCGCGAAGAGGUCACCUGCGUGAUGAAGCGUCUCACAUCCUGGGCACUGCUCAAGCUGGAGGAAGACCAUCUGUCUGAUGAACACAAGAAGGAGAAGAUGGUCAUUGCUCAGGUGAUGGUGGAGGCACUGAAAUACCAGCUUGUCAUACACAAACAUGAGGCUCUUCAAAGCAUGGAGUCCGAAAACAGCCUUCAUAUGUUUAAAGCAAUCGCUCGCCUACAGGAGGAUUUUGAUAUCUUUUUGACCCCCACCAACUACGAAGAUGCCGACAUCCAGAAAGAGAUCCGGGAGCAUCACAUCGCGGCACACGAGCGCGCACGUAGCGCUCGCCCGUCCGCAGCCAUCUCCACCGAGGCCGACCUGCGUCGUCUGGGUCGGUCGCUGCAGUGCAGUGAGCAGGAGCUCUGGUCUGACAUGGCCUUGCGAGCUUUGGGGACGGGCAAUGUGCAGGAAGCACUGCACAUCCUCAGCGAGCUUUAUGAACAUCACAACAACACGGGCACCGGCAAGGUGUUGUUCACCGCCGCCAAAACGCUGUGCCACAUGCUAGAAUCUGACGUACCCAUGGUGCUGCCUGACGACACCGACCUGCCGGCCGUUAUCUACCACCUCGCCUGCCAGGCCAGCACUGUGUGCCACCCCGACUUGCUGCUGGAUUGUUUGGAGCUUUGCAAGUCAACACGGCUCGCCAUGGACAUCUACCACCAGUGCCAAAUAUCGGACAGCUACGGAUUUGUCGCCAAGGAUUUUGCCACGGACGCAGAGAAAGAUCCAUCUUCUCAAUGGUGUUUCCAAGAUGUCUUUCACGAAGAUUGCAUCAUUUUGGACCCCUUGUCCGUGUUACCUGUCCAGUAUGAGAUCACCCACUGCUUGAUACCUGUCUCUCAAGACAGCAAACUGUACCCCCUGGAUUGUUCUUGCCUCUCUCACUGCUCAUUCAAAGACGGUUUCAAUUACUUGCAGCCCCUGCUGAGUCCUCUGCUCAGCAUGUUGCAGAUGUUACAGGAGUGCAGUCAGCUGGAGCUGGCCCUUCGGGUGCUGGUCAACUCGUACGGCAGCUGCUUACAGCACGUCACCUCCAACGUCAUGGACUUCAAGAUUAGUGCACAGCUUUACGACGUAGAGGAAAUGCGAAAGUACAGAGGGUCCUUGAAUGAGUUGCGCAAGAUCACCAACUCGUCCUUGAACUCCAUCGCUGUGGCUCUGCUCAACAAAGUGUUCAACUGGAGGAUGGUGGAUUGCCAUUUGGCCAUCGGGCUGUGCACGCUCCUCUCAAAGGAAGAGGUUCUUAAAAUCCUGUGGAAGGUUAUCGACAACACGUGGGAAAACUACGAGAAGAUUUUGGCUGUAGCCAGAGUCGGGGUCGAGCUUUGCGGCUCGUACAAUCUCCCUGAGGAAAAGAACAAGUUUCUCUCAGUCAUCACCGAUGCUGAAUGGGGCAUCAAGCUUGCCAAAAUAGAGAUCUCCAUCCACCCUGUUUUUCACCAGCCAGCAGAGUUGAUCCCUGUUCUGGUGAAGAACAAGAAGAUCACUCCCGAAAUCAUCCUCCAGUACUGCAGAACGUACGGUCUGGACAGCGACAAUGUCAUCAAUCAGUAUGUUACCACCGUACUACUGUUCCAUGAUGAGGAAGGGGAGGGACAGGCGCAAGCCUUGUGCCAUGCAGAGGCACUGGAGCGGGCCCUGGGCAUCAUCCCCAAGUUGCGCCAAACUCACGAGCUCAUCGGCAGUCUGUCAGCUGCCAUUUUUAAGCUCAGUCCAUACAAUUAUGAGAAGAUCGAGGUGGUGCUGAAGCUCUUAUUGGCUGCUGAUGAGAACGUUGCAGGCUUUUCUGCCAGUCAGGCUUUUGGCCUCCUGCAGCACUUGAAGUCGUACAAGCGUCUGGCUCCUCCUUCAGAUGUGGAGCACGCAUACCUUCUGGAGAACAACAGCCUGCCACCGACCCCUCUGGAUGCUGUCAGGUUGCCUUUCCAUCUGCUCUUGCAGAACAAACACUACUGGAAGAUCAUAUCUCCAGAGCUAAGUGAGAAGACCUUCCCAACUCUUCUUCUAAUCAGCAAACUGAUGAAGGUGAGCCUGGACAAGCUUUACGUGUUGGCAGUCAACCACGUCUUUGAUGCAAAGAUGAAGCCCCUCGUCCUGGAGCAAAGCAAGAGAGCUCAGGCUGCAGGCAAGAAGAAGGAGAUCCACAAAGUGGCCAUGACCCUCAUGAGGUACAUUCGUUGCAUCAAGAACCAGGAAUGGGCGGCUGCCACGGCCCUCAAGAUUACCCAGGAACUGCCUCCAGGCAAUGAGAAGACGCAGUCACUUCGGUUUUGCUUGGCCAUUGGAAAAACGUGGCUUGCGGAGCCAGACAUUGAUGAUGCCAUGCGGACCCGAGGGGAAGCUUUCACAUCCAAGGUGCACCUGCAGCUCCGGCGUUCGGCCACAGAGAGCGCCCUGAUGCCCACUCAGCUCAACACAGCCGAGUACCUCAAGCUCAGCGGGGCUCCGGACAAACUCAUUACGGCCCUCUACGAGCACAGUAGCGUGGAACGACGCUUCAGGGACUCAGGAGGGCAUGCGUAUCCUGACAUACAUGCUGUGGUGAAGGAAAUUGUCACCAUCAACCAAGUGGAUCUGUUGAAAAUCCACAACAUGCUCCUGGAAAAGUGGCUCUGCAAAACGGGUUCCGUGUUGGCAAAGGACAACAUCCACCAGGAAUGCGUCCGCAACGUCAAAGAUGACAUAGACUUAAUGAGAGUGGUGCACAUGCUGCAGUCUCAACCCACAGCCAACGCCGUGUGCCUUCUCAGCUCAAUCCUGACUGCCGAGACUUGGCCUCUCAGCAAAUCCGGCCCCCGGCUCACCUCACACCAUCGAACCCGAGCGCUCCUUUGCCUCGUCCGUCUCGCCGACGCCGACACCCUGGAGGCCCAAUUGAAGAUCCCGAGGGAAGACCUGGAUAACUACCUGAAAUGCUACAUCUUUGUGUCCUGGCUGGAGGCGCUAAACAUUCCCUACACGGUGCGGUCAUUCCUCAGCAGCCCCAAAGAGGGCUUGAUCAAAGGUCUGUGGAAGAAUCACAGCCACGAGCCACAGGCAGUGUGCUUGGUGGCAGACCUGUGCCUGGAGUACAAGGUUUAUGACCCUCAGCUGUGGAACGGUCUUCUUCAGAAAAUGCUCUGCUUCAACUUGAUUAGCGACCUCCAGAAGGUGCUGGAAGCAGCGGUUGCCGUGCCAGCCCUGUGGGAGAUUUCUAGUUUCUCCAGGGCCUGGAAGAGUCUGCUGCUGGCACCUUUUAUCACAGCUUCUUUACCCUUGAGCGUGGAUCAACAAGCAACAUUUCACAGGAACUUUGUUCUCCUUCUAAAGUGCCCGCUGUUGUUAAACAUGGACUUGAUUAGAAUCGCCAAAGGCUUUGCCCAAUUCAAUCUGCUGGCCUUUGCCCUCGGAACGCUCCUGCUCAUUCCUUGUGUCAGCAAAAAAGAUCAGCAGGUUCAGGGCUUUCUUUGUGUGCACGACCCACUCGCUGUACUCGAACAAGAAGAGAAGCUCAUGAACACGGGAGAAUUUGCCGGAAUUCCCUCACAGAUCAGGGACACCGUGCUGACGUACAUGAUGCAACACGAUCAACACGUCCAACUCGUGAAGACCAAUCACUUCACGCACAUGAAGAAGUUGAUGGCGACCAACGGCCAACCGGAGAAAGUGAAGGACCUGAUCAAUUAUCUGAUCAGCCACAACUGUCAGGAAGACGCUCACUGGCUGGCUCAAGAGUACAUGAAACACAGACAACAUGGAAAUGCGACAAACUGAGGUCUCCAGGUGUGACCCAAAAGAGGAAGUGUGCCGCUGCCAUCACUUGAGUGAAUGAAAUUUGAUGAAACAACACAGUUGGAGGGACAAACUGCAUGCCAUGAAGUCUGCUCCACCCCACCGCCGAGUAACGUGAAAUUCAAGUCUGACAUGUUCACUGCACUCAAGGCUGUCAUGGGGCACUACGUUCGGUAUACCUGUGCAGUCUAAUCAAGAGGUAAGGAGUAAUGGGGUUAUAUUAAACAACUGUGCAUGCUUGUCUGAGUCAAGCUCCAAACCCAGAACUUCCAAAUUGUGCACUACACUGUGCUUUAAUCACUUGGUCUCUGUUCAAGAAGUCCUUUCUGUGGCCAACAAAAUUACGCAAAUGUGGCUGUCCUCAUAAAUUCGGUCUGGCAACAAGCAAUACCUGUGCUGUGAACUGAUAGUAAACUUUAAUAAAGUGUUAAUAAUGAACUACAAUUUGUUUAAACAAAGUAAAUUAGUGAUCUCACUGUAGUUUGACAUUGGUUUCCACAAUGUUUUACAGUGACAGCAUUGCCGGCUUGAAUGACGUCAUCGUCUGUAGGGCAUAGAUUAGGG